rnacentral:rRNA from 1 species
GAUGAACGCUGGCGGCAUGCCUAAUACAUGCAAGUCGAGCGAACGGACGAGACGCUUGCUUCUCUGAUGUUAGCGGCGGACGGGUGAGUAACACGUGGAUAACCUACCUUUAAGACUGGCAUAACUUCGGGAAACCGGAGCUAAUUCCGGAUGAUAUUUUGAACCGCAUGGUUCAAAAGUGAAAGCCGGUCUUGCUGUCACUUAUAGAUGGAUCCGCGCUGCAUUAGCUAGUUGGUAAGGUAACGGCUUACCAAGGCAACGAUGCAGAGCCGAGCUGAGAGGGUGAUCGGGCACACUGGAACUGAGACACGGUCCAGACUCCUAAGGGAGGCAGCAGUAGGGAAUCUUCCGCAAUGGGCGAAAGCCUGACGGAGCAACGGCGCGUGAGUGAUGAAGGUCUUCGGAUCGUAAAACUCUGUUAUUAGGGAAGAACAUAUGUGUAAGUAACUGUGCACAGCUUGACGGUACCUAAUCAGAAAGCCACGGCUAACUACGUG